CCUACGGGUGGCAGCAGUGAGGAAUAUUGGUCAAUGGGCGGAAGCCUGAACCAGCCAAGUAGCGUGCAGGAUGACGGCCCUACGGGUUGUAAACUGCUUUUGUACGGGAAUAACGCGCCUUACGUGUAGGGCUUUGCAUGUACCGUAUGAAUAAGGACCGGCUAAUUCCGUGCCAGCAGCCGCGGUAAUACGGAAGGUCCGGGCGUUAUCCGGAUUUAUUGGGUUUAAAGGGUGCGUAGGCCGCAUGUCAAGCGUGCUGUGAAAUGUCCGGGCUCAACCCGGGCCUUGCAGAGCGAAAGGGCGUGCUUAGAGCCGAGGAGAGGUGGCGGAAAU
rnacentral:rRNA from 1 species